rnacentral:rRNA from 1 species
UACGAAGGGGGCAAGCGUUGUUCGGAUUUACUGGGCGUAAAGCGUACGUAGGCGGCUGAUUAAGUCAGGGGUGAAAUCCCGAGGCUCAACCUCGGAACUGCCUUUGAUACUGGUCAUCUUGAGUCCGGGAGAGGUGAGUGGAACUCCUAGUGUAGAGGUGAAAUUCGUAGAUAUUAGGAAGAACACCAGUGGCGAAGGCGGCUCACUGGCCCGGAACUGACGCUGAGGUACGAAAGCGUGGGGAGCAAACAGG